rnacentral:rRNA from 1 species
UACGUAGGCACCAAGCGUUGUCCGGAUUUAUUGGGCGUAAAGAGCUCGUAGGCGGUUCGGUAAGUCGGGUGUGAAAACUCUCGGGCUCAACCCAGAGCCGCCACCCGGAUACUGCUGUGACUCGAGUGCGGUAGGGGAGCGGGGAAUUCCUGGUGUAGCGGUGAAAUGCGCAGAUAUCAGGAGGAACACCAGUGGCGAAGGCGGUUCUCUGGGCCGAUACUGACGCUGAGGAGCGAAAGCGUGGGGAGCGAACAGG